AUGGGCCCGACCUAUUAUGGAUUCGAUCCGACGGGAAUCCAUUGUAUCGGUGGAAUGGAUGCUCGAAGCCGCCGGAGUAGGAAGCUCAAGGUUCGUCUGUCGUCCAUCUCCGAUGCGGUGGAGUAUGAGAGCUACAUAGACCUGUGUGCCCACCGUAAGAAGCAGAUUGCGCGGGAGGUCGAGGCCCGCCUUGCUGCCGACAUGCUGACCGACGGAUGUGGCGGCGCACACUGCCUUGGAGGAGGAGUUCGUCUGUGCCCACAUCGUACAGAAGCAGCAGAGGAAGAACCACACGCCCUCGUCCGAGAGCAAAGUCGGGGGGUCCGUGCCAUGGCCGGACUGCCCUCCAAAGAUAAGAAGGAGGACAGUGACGGGUCGGACAACUCCAGCAAUGAGGAAAUCCAGCUUGAUCCAUUUUGCUUCUUCAAGCGCAAAGACGACAAGGGGAAGGACAGUCGUGGAUGA
rnacentral:rRNA from 1 species